GUGGGGAAUUUUGGACAAUGGGCGCAAGCCUGAUCCAGCAAUGCCGCGUGCAGGAAGAAGGCCUUCGGGUUGUAAACUGCUUUUGUACGGAACGAAACGGUCCGGGUUAAUACCCUGGGCUAAUGACGGUACCGUAAGAAUAAGCACCGGCUAACUACGUGCCAGCAGCCGCGGUAAUACGUAGGGUGCAAGCGUUAAUCGGAAUUACUGGGCGUAAAGCGUGCGCAGGCGGUUUUGUAAGACAGGCGUGAAAUCCCCGGGCUCAACCUGGGAAUUGCGCUUGUGACUGCAAGGCUGGAGUGCGGCAGAGGGGGAUGGAAUUCCGCGUGUAGCAGUGAAAUGCGUAGAUAUGCGGAGGAACACCGAUGGCGAAGGCAAUCCCCUGGACCUGUACUGACACUCAUGCACGAAAGCGUGGGGAGCAAACAGGAUUAGAAACCCCUGUAGUCC
rnacentral:rRNA from 1 species